UACUUGUACCGACUGGAUGAGCAGCGAACGGGUGAGUAACGCGUGGGGAAUCUGCCUUUGAGCGGGGGACAACAUUUGGAAACGAAUGCUAAUACCGCAUAAAAACUUUAAACACAAGUUUUAAGUUUGAAAGAUGCAAUUGCAUCACUCAAAGAUGAUCCCGCGUUGUAUUAGCUAGUUGGUGAGGUAAAGGCUCACCAAGGCGAUGAUACAUAGCCGACCUGAGAGGGUGAUCGGCCACAUUGGGACUGAGACACGGCCCAAACUCCUACGGGAGGCAGCAGUAGGGAAUCUUCGGCAAUGGACGAAAGUCUGACCGAGCAACGCCGCGUGAGUGAAGAAGGUUUUCGGAUCGUAAAACUCUGUUGGUAGAGAAGAACGUUGGUGAGAGUGGAAAGCUCAUCAAGUGACGGUAACUACCCAGAAAGGGACGGCUAACUACGUGCCAGCAGCCGCGGUAAUACGUAGGUCCCGAGCGUUGUCCGGAUUUAUUGGGCGUAAAGCGAGCGCAGGUGGUUUAUUAAGUCUGGUGUAAAAGGCAGUGGCUCAACCAUUGUAUGCAUUGGAAACUGGUAGACUUGAGUGCAGGAGAGGAGAGUGGAAUUCCAUUGGU
rnacentral:rRNA from 1 species